rnacentral:rRNA from 1 species
UGCUUGCACUUUGGCAGACUGAGUGGCGGACGGGUGAGUAACGCGUGGGUAACCUGCCUUAUACAGGGGGAUAACAGUUGGAAACGACUGCUAAUACCGCAUAAGCGCACAGAGCUGCAUGGCUCGGUGUGAAAAACUCCGGUGGUACAAGAUGGACCCGCGUCUGAUUAGCUGGUUGGUGAGGUAACGGCCCACCAAGGCGACGAUCAGUAGCCGGCCUGAGAGGGUGAACGGCCACAUUGGGACUGAGACACGGCCCAGACUCC